GGAGGGAUCGCAUAGUGGCCUAGUGCGCACGCUUGGAAAGCGUGUAUCCGCGCAAGUGGAUCGAGGGUUCGAAUCCCUCUCCCUCCGCCA
rnacentral:tRNA from 1 species